AAUACGGUCCAUUUUGAUUCAACUGGACUUGGAAGUCCAAAACAAGUAACAAACAAAACCCAAACACAAUAAAUGUUAAGACAAAACCCAAACCAAACAAAAGCAAAACAUCACCCAACAAAAAGUCAAAUAGGAAAACAAAUUAGAGACAGUAAAGUAACAAAGGAAAGCACAAAAACACAUCUAGAAGCUUCUUCCAAACCCUUCAGUGACCAGCAACCCAAAACGGCCAAAAACCUUACCAAGAUUGGCAAUCGGAGCCACCAACUAGAGGAAUAGAGUUGAGAUUCAACGCUUAGAGUGACAAACAUUCUCAACUGAGAACUUCGAACAGAUAGGGAGGCAACUACAGCGGUUGGUGGAAACGACGAUUUAGAUCAGUCAGUUCCAAAACCCGAAGCAGAGCAUCCUCUACCCAAAAGGAAUCCUCCGAGCGCUUCAUUCCAUUAGGUACCAUCGCAUACACUGUUGUAUUUCCUUCUUUAGCGACAAAUUCGAAAUGACAAGAUGUGAAACCCCUCACUAGAUUCUUUACAUCCUGUUUCAUUAUCAAAAUUUAAGUAGAAGAAAAUUGGGAGAGAAGAAGAAGAACAGAGAAGAAGAGAGAAUUUUGAAUUAAGAAGAGAGAAUUCUGAAUUAUUUGUGUACUUUGCAUAACUAUUUUUCUGCAUACAUCUCAGACUUAAAAAGGAAAAUAACAGAAAAAGAAUGUGGGUUCAUUCUGUUACCAUCAAAAUGCUCUGUUUCACUAAUUCUUUACGCACCGUUUUGUUUAAUUGCAACUAACCACUUAAACUGAC
rnacentral:lncRNA from 1 species